rnacentral:tmRNA from 1 species
GGGGGUGUACCUGGUUUCGACAGGGGCUUGUGUGCACAUUCUGGCAGGCAGAGCCGAGCUAACUCUUUAAACUGGUUCGAAACUCUAAAUGCAAAGAAGAAAGAAGACGAGUACGUCGACGAAGCAGAGUUUGCUCUUGCUGCUUAAUUGAAAGCGGGCAUGCGCAUUCCGUUUGCUUAUCCGUGUAGCUAUGUGACGGGUUUGCGAGCGAGAGAACAUCUGUAGCUUUUUCGCUUGUUUCUGCGGUUCGGGCAAGCGGAGAAAUCAAGGAUCGCAGGAAAGGGUGCAGAUGAAGAGGUUUUCCGACAUCUCCUUUCUUCAAAUCGGAAGACUAAGCCUGUAGAGGGGGUGUGGCAGAGUUUCUGGACGGGGGUUCGACUCCCCCCAUCUCCAU